UCGGCUGGAGCUUGCUCCGGCCGUGAGAGUGGCGAACGGGUGAGUAAUGCGUGACCGACCUGCCCCAUACACCGGAAUAGCUCCUGGAAACGGGUGGUAAUGCCGGAUGCUCCAACAUGACGCAUGUCNUGUUGGGAAAGAUUCUAUCGGUAUGGGAUGGGGUCGCGUCCUAUCAGGUAGUCGGCGGGGUAACGGCCCACCGAGCCUACGACGGGUAGCCGGCCUGAGAGGGCGACCGGCCACAUUGGGACUGAGAUACGGCCCAGACUCCUACGGGAGGCAGCAGUGGGGAAUAUUGCACAAUGGGCGCAAGCCUGAUGCAGCGACGCCGCGUGCGGGAUGACGGCCUUCGGGUUGUAAACCGCUUUUGACUGGGAGCAAGCCCUUCGGGGUGAGUGUACCUUUCGAAUAAGCACCGGCUAACUACGUGCCAGCAGCCGCGGUAAUACGUAGGGUGCAAGCGUUAUCCGGAAUUAUUGGGCGUAAAGGGCUCGUAGGCGGUUCGUCGCGUCCGGUGUGAAAGUCCAUCGCUUAACGGUGGAUCCGCGCCGGGUACGGGCGGGCUUGAGUGCGGUAGGGGAGACUGGAAUUCCCGGUGUAACGGUGGAAUGUGUAGAUAUCGGGAAGAACACCAAUGGCGAAGGCAGGUCUCUGGGCCGUCACUGACGCUGAGGAGCGAAAGCGUGGGGAGCGAACAGGAUUAGAUACCCUGGUAGUCCACGCCGUAAACGGUGGAUGCUGGAUGUGGGGACCAUUCCACGGUCUCCGUGUCGGANCCNACGCGUUAAGCAUCCCGCCUGGGGAGUACGGCCGCAAGGCUNAAACUCAAAGAAAUUGACGGGGGCCCGCACAAGCGGCGGA
rnacentral:rRNA from 1 species